GACGGCAGACUGCUGUUAAUAUAUCAGAUAUUCGACCGCUGAAAAAAAAUGGCCAAAUGUAUAUUUAUUCAGUUAUCUUUCAUGAAGUAGCAUUAGCCGGUACUGUUUGGAGACAUUUUGUAUCCCAUCAUGCACCGCUGCUGGUUAACGACCCACAGCUCGUGAGCACAGCGCGCGCAUCGGCGACGAGAGGAACAACAAACAGUAACACAGCACCUCCAACCAAGGCGAACCCGAGGGAUGAAGCCAAGGCAGCAGCUUGCAUGGCAGCAUCACCUCUGAAGAGGAGGAGGAGGAGAGGCAGGAAUCCACAGCCACGAUACCAGCCAGCCCACCCAGGAUGCCAGGCAUGCCGUGCAGAUUGUGGACACCGCAGGUAUCCUGGAUUCCCAGG